AACAUAUCACCAAAAAAACAAAUCUUCUCUAUACUUGAAACAAACAGUGCGGCACGUUAAAUUUGCAAUAUCCAGAAAUGAAGAAGGUUGCUGUUUUCUAUUGUCUUCUUGUAAUAAUUCUCAUGUUAUCAAUGGAUGAGUGGUGUCUGCAAAGCCAAGCCAGGAUCUUGGAGUUGUCCCCUAUAAAAUCCCAAGGUAAAUGUUAGUUAAAGAGUAGGACCAACUCAUUUAAAAGUUUAUGUUUUAAGAAAGAAUUUAUUUUUAGUUAUUUAAUUAUAUCUUGUUUAUUUCUACAUAUGCCAAAAGAAGUCAGGAAUGAUUUAAUCCGAGGUCGCAGUAACAGGGUGACUUGGAGCAAUACCAAUCCUUCACCAUAUCCAAAUAUGAGAAGUCAUUAGUAUGAUUCUAAGAGACCCUUAAUUUACUGAUUUCAUUCAUUUUUCUUUCUUUCUUCUUCAUCUACUACUUCUUCUUUUAUUUUAUUCCUGAAAAAUUGCUAAACUGUAAACUCCCUCAUGUGUGCGCAGACGAUGUGGUGACAAUUGCUUUUAGGGCUGCUGAGGAUGGGCAUGGGAAAUACUUCCGGAAAUUUGGGAUGAGAUGGAACAAAAUGGCAUCUACAGGCUGUUUGAGUUUUGAAAUGUUACGUUUACUAUAAAUCGGAAAAGGAUAAUAUUUAAUUACCCCUCUGUUACAAUGUUUAAAUAUAACCUCAGUCUGAGUAUUCGAUUGUAAAUUGCCUCACCAUUACACAUCUAUAUAUUUAUUUAUAUAUAAAGCUGAGAAUUAGC
rnacentral:lncRNA from 1 species